AUCCCAUGAUGAGGACACUUACGAAGUAAUUCCUUGAAUCUUUCUCACGCCUCAUACAAGGAUUCUUCAUCCAAUUAUGAAAAGUGGUUAUCUCAUUUCGCAACUU
rnacentral:snoRNA from 1 species